rnacentral:lncRNA from 1 species
AAUAAAUCCACAAUUAAUCUAGUAAUUCAAAUAGAGCAGUCCGACAUGUCCAAAUAAACAAAUUAGUUCAAUUACAAGAUCUUCAAAUGUUCAUCGACAUCAAGAAGGAUAAACAAACUAACUAGCUAAUGACUCUGAUACUUGCACUCUGCGCCCAUCCCAUCCAAAUCUAAGCAUCCUGCAACUCUGAUAAAAAGAAAGAA